rnacentral:rRNA from 1 species
CCUACGGGCGGCAGCAGUAGGGAAUCUUGCACAAUGGGCGAAAGCCUGAUGCAGCAACGCCGCGUGGGUGAAGAAGGUCUUCGGAUCGUAAAACCCUGUUGUUAGAGAAGAAAGCGCGGGCGAGUAACUGUUCACGUUUCGACGGUAUCUAACCAGAAAGCCACGGCGAACUACGUGCCAGCAGCCGCGGUAAUACGUAGGUGGCAAGCGUUAUCCGGAUUUAUUGGGGGUAAAGGGAACGCAGGCGGUUUUUUAAGUCUGAUGUGAAAGGCUUCGGCUUAACCGGAGUAGUGCAUUGGAAACUGGGAGACUUGAGUGCAGAAGAGGCGAGUGGAACUCCAUGUGUAGCGGGGAAAUGCGUAGAUAUAUGGAAGAACACCAGUGGCGAAGGCGGCUUUCUGGUCUGUAACUGACGCUGAGGUUCGAAAGCGUGGGUAGCAAACAGGAUUAGAUACCCCAGUAGUC